AUGAACGCUGGCGGCGUGCUUAACACAUGCAAGUCGAACGGAAAGGCCCAAGCUUGCUUGGGUACUCGAGUGGCGAACGGGUGAGUAACACGUGGGUGAUCUGCCCUGCACUUCGGGAUAAGCCUGGGAAACUGGGUCUAAUACCGGAUAGGACGAUGGUUUGGAUGCCAUUGUGGAAAGUUUUUUCGGUGUGGGAUGAGCUCGCGGCCUAUCAGCUUGUUGGUGGGGUAAUGGCCUACCAAGGCGUCGACGGGUAGCCGGCCUGAGAGGGUGUACGGCCACAUUGGGACUGAGAUACGGCCCAGACUCCUACGGGAGGCAGCAGUGGGGAAUAUUGCACAAUGGGCGCAAGCCUGAUGCAGCGACGCCGCGUGGGGGAUGACGGCCUUCGGGUUGUAAACUCCUUUUGCUAGGGACGAAGCGUUUUUGUGACGGUACCUGGAGAAGAAGCACCGGCUAACUACGUG
rnacentral:rRNA from 1 species